AUGUUGUUUUCCUUUGACUAAUAGCUUAACAAAUUCAAGGUCAAUUGUCAAAUUGAUGCCUCAGCAAUUAACUGAUUAACCCUUAAAGCAUUUGAAAACAAUAGUAAGCUCAAAGAUAUCAAAGAGGGAGAAGUACACACCCCUAAUGUGACCUCCACAAAACACGUGAUUAAAUCAAGCCCGAUGUCAUCAUUCAUCAAACAAUGCUGUGCUCUUUACGCGGUCAUAUCACUUGUUGACUGAAUACACUGAUUGGUGACGUCAGCCAUUGCUCUGUAUUCUUUGUAAAUAAUGCCAUUGUGAGGGAAUUCAUGUUUUCUUGUGUUUGUUGCCUUGUUGUUUACAGAUGGGCAGUCAGUACCAGCGCUCAGUACCUCUAGAGGUGAGGGGAGAGCAGAGGGAGAGAGGGUCCGGACCAAGCAUCCAGACAAGAUACCGAUCAUUGUGGAGAAGUCCCCGAGGUCACGCGCCCCUGAACUGGACAAGAAGAAAUACCUGGUGCCCUCAGAUUUAACAGGAGCACCAUGAAGAGGACCUGUUUCUCUACCUGACCUACAGUAAUGAGAGUGUGUACGGUGCCUGAGUGAGGACAAAAGACUGGAGAAAGAGAGAGAGAGAGAACGAGGCUGUCUGAGAAAUAAAGAGUUAAGGCUGUUUGUAAUGCUUCACACCACUAUUAUUCUCUAUUAGUUUUGAUAAGUAACUACAUGGUGAAAGAAAGGCUUGGCACAGGGCAGACGUUGUCGCUGGUAGGGUUUACCGUCGUCAGUAUUUCCGGGUGAGCUUAA